GGGUUGUGGCUCAGUGGUAGAGUGCUUGCCUAGCAUGCAUGAGGCACUGGGUUGGAUCCCCAGCACCCCA
rnacentral:tRNA from 1 species